rnacentral:rRNA from 1 species
AGGUCAAGCUACAAAGGGCGCAUGGUGAAUGCCUUGGCAUCAGGAGCCGAUGAAGGACGUGAUAAGCUGCGAUAAGCUUCGGGUAGGCGCACAUAGCCAGUGAUCCGAAGAUUUCCGAAUGAGGGAACUCACAUGGGAAACCCCAUGUAUCCUGUAGUGAAUAAAUAGCUGCAGGAAGGUAAACCUAGGGAACUGAAACAUCUAAGUACCUAGAGGAAGAGAAAGAAAAAUCGAUUUUCUUAGUAGCGGCGAGCGAAAGGGAAAGAGCCCAAACCAGAGAUUUAUCUCUGGGGUUGCGGACAGAACAUUAAAUAAACUAAUUUGUAACCGAAGACAACUGGAAAGUUGUGCCGUAGAGUGUAAUAGCCACGUAGGUGAAACGAAGAGGUUUAGAGUUCUGAUCCAGAGUACCACGAGACACGUGAAACCUUGUGGGAAGCAGGGAGGACCACCUCCCAAGGCUAAAUACUACCUGAUGACCGAUAGUGAAGCAGUACCGUGAGGGAAAGGUGAAAAGAACCCCGGGAGGGGAGUGAAAUAGAACCUGAAACCGUGUGCCUACAACCGGUCAAAGCCCCUUAUGAGGGUGAUGACGUGCUUUUUGUAGAACGAGCCAACGAGUUACGGUAUGUAGCAAGGUUAAGUACUUAAGGUACGGAGCCUAAGGGAAACCGAGUCUUAAUAGGGCGACUAGUUGCAUGCCGUAGACCCGAAACCGGGUGACCUAUCCAUGGCCAGGUUGAAGCGGGGGUAAAACCCCGUGGAGGACCGAACCACGUUGCUGUUGAAAAAGCAUGGGAUGAGCUGUGGAUAGCGGAGAAAUUCCAAUCGAACUCGGAGAUAGCUGGUUCUCCUCGAAAUAGCUUUAGGGCUAGCGUCGGAUAUGAGUAAUGGAGGUAGAGCACUGAAUGGGCUAGGGGGCGUAUCGCUUACCGAACCUUAUCAAACUCCGAAUGCCAUAUACUAUGAGUCCGGCAGUCAGACUACGAAUGAUAAGAUCCGUGGUCAAA